rnacentral:rRNA from 1 species
UACGUAGGGGGCAAGCGUUGUCCGGAAUCAUUGGGCGUAAAGCGCGUGUAGGCGGCCCGAUAAGUCCGCUGUGAAAGUCCAGGGCUCAACCCUGGGAUGCCGGUGGAUACUGUCGGGCUCGAGUCCGGAAGAGGCGAGUGGAAUUCCUGGUGUAGCGGUGAAAUGCGUAGAUAUCUGGAGGAACACCGGUGGCGAGGGCGGCAUCCUGGACCGGCAUUGACGCUGAGGCGCGAAAGCUAGGGGAGCAAACGGG